UUACGGUCAAAUCACGCUGAAAACACCGGUUCUCGUUCGAUCACCGAAGUUAAGCAUCGUAGAGCCAGGUCAGUACUUAGAUGGGGGACCGCUUGGGAACACCUGGUACUGGA